rnacentral:rRNA from 1 species
AGAGUUUGAUCAUGGCUCAGAUUGAACGCUGGCGGCAGGCCUAACACAUGCAAGUCGAGCGGUAGCACAAGAGAGCUUGCUCUCUGGGUGACGAGCGGCGGACGGGUGAGUAAUGUCUGGGAAACUGCCUGAUGGAGGGGGAUAACUACUGGAAACGGUAGCUAAUACCGCAUGACGUCUUCGGACCAAAGUGGGGGACCUUCGGGCCUCACGCCAUCAGAUGUGCCCAGAUGGGAUUAGCUAGUAGGUGGGGUAAUGGCUCACCUAGGCGACGAUCUCUAGCUGGUCUGAGAGGAUGACCAGCCACACUGGAACUGAGACACGGUCCAGACUCCUACGGGAGGCAGCAGUGGGGAAUAUUGCACAAUGGGCGCAAGCCUGAUGCAGCCAUGCCGCGUGUAUGAAGAAGGCCUUCGGGUUGUAAAGUACUUUCAGCGAGGAGGAAGGCAUUGUGGUUAAUAACCACAGUGAUUGACGUUACUCGCAGAAGAAGCACCGGCUAACUCCGUGCCAGCAGCCGCGGUAAUACGGAGGGUGCAAGCGUUAAUCGGAAUUACUGGGCGUAAAGCGCACGCAGGCGGUUGAUUAAGUCAGAUGUGAAAUCCCCGAGCUUAACUUGGGAACUGCAUUUGAAACUGGUCAGCUAGAGUCUUGUAGAGGGGGGGUAGAAUUCCAGGUGUAGCGGUGAAAUGCGUAGAGAUCUGGAGGAAUACCGGUGGCGAAGGCGGCCCCCUGGACAAAGACUGACGCUCAGGUGCGAAAGCGUGGGGAGCAAACAGGAUUAGAUACCCUGGUAGUCCACGCUGUAAACGAUGUCGACUUGGAGGUUGUGCCCUUGAGGCGUGGCUUCCGGAGCUAACGCGUUAAGUCGACCGCCUGGGGAGUACGGCCGCAAGGUUAAAACUCAAAUGAAUUGACGGGGGCCCGCACAAGCGGUGGAGCAUGUGGUUUAAUUCGAUGCAACGCGAAGAACCUUACCUACUCUUGACAUCCAGAGAAUUUAGCAGAGAUGCUUUAGUGCCUUCGGGAACUCUGAGACAGGUGCUGCAUGGCUGUCGUCAGCUCGUGUUGUGAAAUGUUGGGUUAAGUCCCGCAACGAGCGCAACCCUUAUCCUUUGUUGCCAGCACGUAAUGGUGGGAACUCAAAGGAGACUGCCGGUGAUAAACCGGAGGAAGGUGGGGGAUGACGUCAAGUCAUCAUGGCCCUUACGAGUAGGGCUACACACGUGCUACAAUGGCAUAUACAAAGAGAAGCGAACUCGCGAGAGCAAGCGGACCUCAUAAAGUAUGUCGUAGUCCGGAUUGGAGUCUGCAACUCGACUCCAUGAAGUCGGAAUCGCUAGUAAUCGUAGAUCAGAAUGCUACGGUGAAUACGUUCCCGGGCCUUGUACACACCGCCCGUCACACCAUGGGAGUGGGUUGCAAAAGAAGUAGGUAGCUUAACCUUCGGGAGGGCGCUUACCACUUUGUGAUUCAUGACUGGGGUGAAGUCGUAACAAGGUAACCGUAGGGGAACCUGCGGUUGGAUCACCU